GAUGAACGCUGGCGGCGUGCCUAAUACAUGCAAGUCGAGCGAACAGACGAGGAGCUUGCUCCUCUGACGUUAGCGGCGGACGGGUGAGUAACACGUGGAUAACCUACCUAUAAGACUGGGAUAACUUCGGGAAACCGGAGCUAAUACCGGAUAAUAUAUUGAACCGCAUGGUUCAAUAGUGAAAGACGGUUUUGCUGUCACUUAUAGAUGGAUCCGCGCCGCAUUAGCUAAUUGGUAAGGUAACGGCUUACCAAGGCAACGAUGCGUAGCCGACCUGAGAGGGUGAUCGGCCACACUGGAACUGAGACACGGUCCAGACUCCUAAGGGAGGCAGCAGUAGGGAAUCUUCCGCAAUGGGCGAAAGCCUGACGGAGCAACGCCGCGUGAGUGAUGAAGGUCUUCGGAUCGUAAAACUCUGUUAUUAGGGAAGAACAAAUGUGUAAGUAACUAUGCACGUCUUGACGGUACCUAAUCAGAAAGCCACGGCUAACUACGUG
rnacentral:rRNA from 1 species